rnacentral:rRNA from 1 species
UACGAAGGGGGCUAGCGUUGUUCGGAAUGACUGGGCGUAAAGGGCGCGUAGGCGGCGGACUAAGUCAGGCGUGAAAGCCCUGGGCUUAACCUGGGAAUUGCGUUUGAUACUGGUUUGCUUGAGUGCGGGAGAGGAUGGUGGAAUUCCCAGUGUAGAGGUGAAAUUCGUAGAUAUUGGGAAGAACACCGGUGGCGAAGGCGGCCAUCUGGACCGUUACUGACGCUGAGGCGCGAAAGCGUGGGGAGCAAACAGG